rnacentral:lncRNA from 1 species
CAUGGACCCAAGCGAUGAACUUUUCUUGUCUGGGAAGGGCUAUGUAGAUGAUGGAGCCAAAGAACCUUCUAGCAUGUUCAUUGAGUUACUAGCAGGAAAGGAGAGGAACAGGAGGCCUUGCAACUGGUAGAGGUUGAAAAGGAGACAAACACGCAACAAUCUCUGUGCUGAGGCACACGGGCAGGCAAUAGCACAGCCAUUUCCUUACUGUCCUAAAGAAACCUAUUCUCUGAUGUCCCCUCUGUCCUCCUCAUAGGCUGCCACCUGAACUGCCACAAAAGUGAGUCAUCCACCUCCUCUAAACACACUUGUGCAUGAAGGGUAGCCCUGAGAAAAAUCUAUAGCAUGCUUAAGUUCUGAAGGGCCUGGAUUUUCUGGGUCCGUUGAGGACAAGAAAGAUGGAGCCUUCAGUUUCCUGAUCUUUGCACUAUGUCACUGUGCCUUUGCUGUGCCACCUCCUUUGCUUGCCACUGCUGUUGCCAGGCCAGGGAGUCACAGCCUUGGCAGCCAAGCUCCAGGAGACCUGAGUCCAAAACUGUAGGUUUGGCAGUGAUGAGCAGUUGAAGAGCAGCAGGCCCCUAAACUAUAAACAUCGGAAGUGAAAAUUCUUUUUAAUCGCAAUGAAUGAAAAGCUCUCUGGAUCCCCUGGAAGUAAGUCUGUGGGGGCCCUUGUAACAUUUGCUUCCCUGAAGGUCCCUUGUGAAAGGGAAGGGUUUAACCCCGGGCCUCCUUUCUCUGAGGCGGGCUUUAUCUCUCCGGAUCUAUCUAAUUCCCCCUCAGCACCCACUUAUUU